AUGGGCGCUCCCUCCACCUCGCCGUCGCCGUCGCCCUCCCCGCCGGCGCCGCCCGAGGCCUCCCCGCCGAACGACGAGGGCUCCUCGCCGGAGCUGCCGCUGCUGCGGCUGCGCUGCGGCGUGCAGCAGUACGCGUGGGGCCGGCGCGGCGCCGCCUCCCUCGUCGCGCGCCUCUCCGGAGCCCCCGACCCGGACCCGGCCCUCCCCUACGCGGAGCUCUGGAUGGGCACGCACCCGGCCGCGCCCUCCGCCGUGCUCCCCGGCGGCGAGCCGCUCGGCGCCUGGCUCGCGCGCCGCCCCGCCGCGCUCGGCCCCGCCGUCGCCGCGCGCUGGGCCGGCGACCUCCCGUUCCUCUUCAAGGUGCUGUCGGUGGCGAAGCCGCUGUCGAUCCAGGCGCACCCGGACAAGGGGCUGGCGGAGCUGCUGCACGCCAUGCGGCCGGCCACGUACCGGGACGCCAACCACAAGCCGGAGAUGGCCAUCGCCGUCACCGAGUUCCGCGCGCUCUUCGGCUUCGCCGGCAUCGAGGAGCUCAAGGAUGUUAUAAGGACUGUACCUGAAGUCGGAGGGCUGAUCGGACAUGAAGAUGCUGACAAGCUUAUGACUGUAAAAGAGUAUCAUGGUGGCAAUGAUGUAAAAUCCAGUCUGCAAUCAGCAUUCGCUAAGCUAAUGACAGCAAGUAAAGAAGCAGUUUCCGAAGCAGUUAAUAAAUUGAAGGGUCGCCUGAAUGAUGAGAGCAAGAUUCGAACCUUAACAGAGAAGGAAGAGCUCGUUUUGUCUCUGGAGAGACAGUAUCCAGAAGAUGUUGGUGUUCUAGCCGCCCUUCUCUUCAACUAUGUCAAGCUCAGUCCCGGUGAAGCAAUUUAUAUCGGUGCCAAUGAACCGCACGCAUACCUGUCCGGGGAAUGCAUCGAGUGUAUGGCUACUUCAGACAAUGUGGUUCGCGCUGGUUUGACACCUAAAUACAGAGAUGUGCAGACCCUCUGCUCCAUGCUAACAUACAAACAGAUCUUCCCUGAAAUAUUGAGAGGGGUGCCUGUGCAGCCAUACGUACGACGCUACACCCCUCCGACUGACGAGUUCGAGGUCGACUGCUGCUUGCUGCCUCCAGGUGAAGUGGUUGUCAUGCCACCGGUACCAGGUCCAUCCAUCUUCCUUGUCAUGACCGGGGAGGGCGAGGUUCAGGCAGACUCAAUGUCAGAUGGCGAGAAGGCGAAGGAAGGUGACGUCUUCUUCGUGCCUGCGCACACCGAGGUUAGGCUCUCUGCCUGUGGCCAUGCGUCGAUGCAGCUGUACAGAGCUGGGGUGAACAGCAGAGCAUUGUACGCCUGCAACGCUGCUGCUGCGGGGAAGAGGUCCCAGCUGCAGAACAUAUGCGAAGUGGCGAGUUAG
rnacentral:rRNA from 1 species